AAGUCGUAACAAGGUCUCCGUAGGUGAACCUGCGGAGGGAUCAUUACAGAGUUCUCGCCCCUCGCGGGUAGAUCUCCCACCCACUGUUAUCGUUACCGUCGUUUCUUUGGCGGGCCGCUGGGCCCUGCCCGGCCGCCGGCCCCGGCUGGCGCGUGCCCGCCAGAGACCCCCAAACUCUGAAUGUUAGUGUCGUCUGAGUACUAUACAAUAGUUAAAACUUUCAACAACGGAUCUCUUGGUUCUG
rnacentral:misc_RNA from 1 species